rnacentral:pre_miRNA from 1 species
UUAGGUUUACUUCAUUUUAUUCUGGGAUUCUUGUUGUUGAAGGUUGAUGGGGAUGAUAUGAAGAUGAAAAAGAGGAGAAG